UGCAUAGUGCUACCCCUCGUCUGUGUAAGUGCUGGGAGUGCACAGUCUAUCCUAUGUGGGAUACGAAACACUGCGAGGUAUGCCUUGCAUAGUAAUGACUGAAAGACAGGUGUAGGGGUAGAGAUGAAUAGUCAAUGUAACAACAGGCACUGAACUGGGAGAAGGGCUGUUGAGCUUUUUAUUCAUAUUCUGUGUCAUCAGCACAUGCUGUACAGUGAAUGUGUAACGAUUUGAAAUGAGCCUCAGGUCUUGGUAGCUGGCAGUGGAGUCCAUGUCUUGAGGGCUGGCUGUUCCGUCAAUGGCUGUGGUCACUGGCCACAUAAGGCUAUGGGGACCAUGUCCAGGUUGGAUCAGUGUCUUUCCACUUGUGUGUGUAGUGUGAAUAGGAUGGUGAUGUUCUCUUUUUAACCUUAUCGCAUCUAUACUUUGCUUACUCUUCUCCUCUCCUCGCUGACUUGACGGGGGAUUGUGAUGCGUGAUGGAGCAGCUGCCUUGGUUCAAUGUGAACAUGUCUCACGGGAUAGUCGCACAAACUUUUCACUCUCGGGGAGACGUAGCACGCCAUGAUGGCUAACAGGGCGUCGAGAUGGUGGUAGUGCGUUAACGGCACAUACAUGGGUCUGGUGAAGAGACUGUCCGUUGGGCCUAUAGUCACAUCGCCACCUUCGGCGCUGUCGGCUCUCACGUUCACACGGUCCAGCUUUUCCUUCUCGUAAUCUGUCAGGGUCCUGUCCUUCAAGAGGAGGCAGUCGUACCAGGCCGCCAUAGCCUUAGUAAGUCUGCGGUUACCUGAGGUGGAUGAAGGAGUUACGAGGGUAGGAUAGGAUAGGGGCUAAGCUUAGGUUGUCCUAAGAGUUUGAUUAGAGAGCGAAGAUAGUUGUAGUUGCUGUCAGAGAGCUAUUCAGAGGUUUGCAAUGUCUCUGUUGAAACCUCUAUAACCAACGUCGUGUUCUUUCUGUGUGUAUGGCUAAUGGACUGAUAUUACCCCCUGACUGUGUGAGGACUGGAGGCUCUAAGUACAUCUCAGCAAAUUGCCUGUCUGUGGUGGGAUGCUGCCUAUACCCCUUCUUCAAGAAUGAGUUUCUUAACACUGUCUACCACUGUCCUAGCUGCAAUGUUGCUCUGGUUGUAAUAAAGAAGUGACGAUUACCGCUAAUAUGAACCGGACACUGUAUGGGUUCUCAUCGCCGUACACACCUAACAUUUGACAUGUGCCUAUUUACAAUGUAUGACUUUCUUUGAACAUGUGUCAAUAAAAACUCACCAGACUCUCAGUA